rnacentral:rRNA from 1 species
GACGGGGAGCACCACAACGGGUGGAGCCUGACGGUUUAAUUGGAUCAACGCCGGAAAUCUCACCGGGGCGACAGCAAUAUGAAGGUCAGGCUGAAGACCUUACCCGAUUAGCUGAGAGGUGGUGCAUGGCCGUCGUCAGUUCGUACUGUGAAGCAUCCUGUUAAGUCAGGCAACGAGCGAGACCCACGUCCACAGUUGCCAGCAUACCCUCCGGGGUGAUGGGUACACUGUGGAGACCGCCGCUGCUAAAGCGGAGGAAGGAGUGGGCAACGGUAGGUCAGUAUGCCCCGAAUCUCCCGGGCUACACGCGGGCUACAAUGGUUGGUACAAUGGGCAUCUACCCCGAAAGGGGAAGGAAAUCUCUUAAAGCCAAUCGUAGUUCGGAUUGAGGGCUGCAACUCGCCCUCAUGAAGCUGGAAUCCGUAGUAAUCGCGUUUCAACAGAACGCGGUGAAUACGUCCCUGCUCCUU